ensembl:lncRNA
AUCUCCCAGCCUUCUCCUUAUGAGAUCUGAACAGUUUAUGAUCUGCUGGCCAUCACUGCUACCUGGAAAGACCACUCUGACAGAGGCACCUGUCCUAGACUAAGGACCUUCUGGGGACAUUUCCAACCUAGACCCCAUGGAGGCCAAUCGGAAGGAGAAUAUUCCACCCUGGCCAGGAGGCCCCCUGAAAUCAGACCGACAGCUGGUUCCGAAGAACGUGAACAUCGGCCUCUCUGUGGGCAGCGGGCGAGCUACCAUGGCGGGGUCUCGCUCUCCCAUCAAAACUCAGAGGCAGAGUCCAGCCGCUCCUCCAGGCCAAGGCCUGCAGCUGGAAGGGCCUGUAGCCAGCAGCCAGGAGGCGAGGUACCUCUCCUCUGGGGUUCAGACCAACCUGGCUCCUGUGGGCCAGUCCCUGCCCAGGGCCGCCGGCCUGGUGAGUAACUCUUGCUUUGAGCAGCAGAGCAACCUGUGGCUCCAAGCCCGGAGGCCCAGGGCAUCUGGGAAGUGGACAGGGCUUUCCUCCCAGCAAAGCAACGUGGAGCUGAGCAGAGCAGACCCAGAGAGGAGAGGGGGAGCCAGGAGCCCCCACCUAAAGGAGCCGGCCUGGAGCCUGGGGGGCUGCUCGUGGGAGCUCUUGUGGUCCGGACAUUCUGGAGGCGUCCCCUGGCCCUCCGGGUCAGACAGCCAGACCCACAGGCUCCCGUUGCUGAGGGACCGACCAUCAUCUUCCUUCCCCGGCCCUGGGAGCACCGUACACAUCUCACCAAAAGCCACAAAAGCCUGGGGGUCCAAGCGGAGCCCUUCCCCUCCAUCUGGCCAUCAGGGUUGUCUUGUCCAGCCCAGCACAAGUUACCUGGGUUACUGGGCCCCAAACUCCACCGAGCAAACCCUCCCCUUGGAGGACCUGACCCUCUCAGGCCAGUGCCGGCAAUCAUCUCAGCCUCCGGUCUUGGAGCCCAGAGCUGAGUUUUUCCCAGACUCGGCCCACCUGCGCUUGUCCAUGAGGAGCCUCCGAUGGCCAUCAGAGGAGCUCCUCCUCAGAGCCCCCCAGGAGCACUCCAGACCCUGGCCCUGCUCCAGCUGGGCCAUUUCUCCAGGGGCCUCACUAACCUCGACUCUAGGGCACCCCAGCCCCCUAACCCAUGCUUGUGGGACUGUGCCUCCAGAAGCUACCCCUCGCCUGGCACCUGGGCACCCCAGUCCCUGCAGGGCUGUGCCUCCAGAGGCUACUCCUUACCUAACACCUGGGCACCACAGCCCCCUUACCCACCCUGGUGGGACUGAGCCUCCAGAGGCUACCCCUCACCUGCCACCUGGGCACCCCAAUCCCUGCAGGGCUGUGCCUCCAGAAACCAUCCCUCACCUGGCACGAGGGUAUCCCAGCCCCCUUAGCCAUCCUUGCAGGGCUGUGUCUCCAGAGGCUAGCCCUUACCUAACAUCCGGGCACCCCAACCCCCUUACCUGCCCCUGCAGGGCUGUGUCUCCAGAGACUGCCCCUUACUUAACACCAGGGCACCCCAGCCCCCUCACUCUCUCCCACAGCGCUGCAAGUCCAGAGGUUCUCCAGAAUCUGACAAUGGGGUACCCCAGUCCCCAUAUUUUUUCUGACAAGACCUUAACUCCAGAGGCAUCCCCCAAACUGGCACCAGGAUACUCCAGCAGGACUAAGGCUCCAGAGGCCUCCCCCAGCCCGACGUCGGAGUCUCCUACCCUCCUCCCUCUCUCUUACCAAGGCUCCCGAGUAGACAGGGGACAGCGACUGACAGACACUCAGCUGGAGGGACAUUUGUGGCAAAUCUGGCAUCGCUGGUGUCCCCAGGGCACAAAUACCCCUCUCCCGGGCCAGGCGGAAGGGACUGCUCCUGCCCACUGGAAAAGUCCAAGAGAAGGAGCCUUCUCAGGCCCUGAGGGUAGUUCCGGGCCAAGCCUCCUGCAGAGUGCCAUUCCUGGUCCCUGCCCCCCUGGGGGGGAAGGCAGACUGGGCCCGAGGACCUGUCUUUCAGCCUCCCCUUCUAUUGGGGCGCAUCCAGCCCAGCAGCAGAUGGAAAAGGCUCUUUGGCCCAGGGAACGGGAAGGUCCCUGGAUGGAACGGGGCCUUGCUGAGAGCCAUAGGGCAAGAAGCCGGGACAGGAGGGAGCAACACCUGGCAGUCGGGGGCCCACAGCAAAAGCUGGGGCUAGAGAAGGAUGGACCAAGGACCUCCUUGGAGCUGAAAUCAGGAGAAGUCAUCCCAAGGACUGGACAGGGAAGAAAGCUAGAGAGAGGAGGAGCCGAGGGGAGAGGAAAUGUUAAAUUCCAGGUAGAUGAAUUGAGCUUGAGAUGGAAGGCCCGGUUCUAUCAGAGUCGGCGGGUGGUGCAAUGGGUGGCGCACUGGCCCUGAAACCUGGCCUUGGCAAGCCUCAAGUAGUAAGCUACUGCUGAUACUCUCAAAAGUAGCCCAAGAAAGCAGUUCAACUAUUAGCCACAUUUUACAGCUUUCUGGUUUAUUUUUUUUUUUCCUUUUUCUUAGAGGUCACACACCUAGUAGGAAAUUUCUGAGGCAGGUCCUUCUGACUCCAGGGCCAUCCUCUGAG